rnacentral:rRNA from 1 species
GGGGGCCCGCAAGCGGUGGAGCAUGUGGUUCAAUUCGACGCAACGCGAAGAACCUUACCUGGGCUCGAACGGCUUAAGAUCAACGGUAGAAAUACUGUCUUCUCGCAAGAGACUUGAAUCGAGGUGCUGCAUGGCUGUCGUCAGCUCGUGUCGUGAGAUGUUGGGUUAAGUCCCGCAACGAGCGCAACCCUUGUCCUGUGUUGCCACUCCGUAAGGAAGCACUCUCAGGAGACCGCCAGCGAUAAGUUGGAGGAAGGUGGGGAUGAUGUCAAGUCAUCAUGGCCUUUAUGUCCAGGGCUACACACGUGCUACAAUGGGCGGUACAAAGCGCUGCAAACCCGCGAGGGGGAGCUAAUCGCAAAAAACCGUCCUCAGUUCGGAUCGCAGGCUGCAACUCGCCUGCGUGAAGCUGGAAUCGCUAGUAAUGGUGUAUCAGAAUGAUACCGUGAAUACGUUCCCGGGCCUUGUACACACC